UGGGGGGGCUGCUAUACAUGCAAGUCGAGCGGACAGAUGGGAGCUUGCUCCCUGAUGUUAGCGGCGGACGGGUGAGUAACACGUGGGUAACCUGCCUGUAAGACUGGGAUAACUCCGGGAAACCGGGGCUAAUACCGGAUGGUUGUCUGAACCGCAUGGUUCAGACAUAAAAGGUGGCUUCGGCUACCACUUACAGAUGGACCCGCGGCGCAUUAGCUAGUUGGUGAGGUAACGGCUCACCAAGGCGACGAUGCGUAGCCGACCUGAGAGGGUGAUCGGCCACACUGGGACUGAGACACGGCCCAGACUCCUACGGGAGGCAGCAGUAGGGAAUCUUCCGCAAUGGACGAAAGUCUGACGGAGCAACGCCGCGUGAGUGAUGAAGGUUUUCGGAUCGUAAAGCUCUGUUGUUAGGGAAGAACAAGUGCCGUUCAAAUAGGGCGGCACCUUGACGGUACCUAACCAGAAAGCCACGGCUAACUACGUGCCAGCAGCCGCGGUAAUACGUAGGUGGCAAGCGUUGUCCGGAAUUAUUGGGCGUAAAGGGCUCGCAGGCGGUUUCUUAAGUCUGAUGUGAAAGCCCCCGGCUCAACCGGGGAGGGUCAUUGGAAACUGGGGAACUUGAGUGCAGAAGAGGAGAGUGGAAUUCCACGUGUAGCGGUGAAAUGCGUAGAGAUGUGGAGGAACACCAGUGGCGAAGGCGACUCUCUGGUCUGUAACUGACGCUGAGGAGCGAAAGCGUGGGGAGCGAACAGGAUUAGAUACCCUGGUAGUCCACGCCGUAAACGAUGAGUGCUAAGUGUUAGGGGGUUUCCGCCCCUUAGUGCUGCAGCUAACGCAUUAAGCACUCACCCGCGGGGAGUACGGUCGCAAGACUGAAACUCAAAGGAAUUGACGGGGGCCCGCACAAGCGGUGGAGCAUGUGGUUUAAUUCGAAGCAACGCGAAGAACCUUACCAGGUCUUGACAUCCUCUGACAUCCUAGAGAUAGGACGUCCCCUUUCGGGGGCAGAGUGACAGGUGGUGCAUGAUUGUCGUCAGCUCGUGUCGUGAGAAUGUUGGGUUAAGUAC
rnacentral:rRNA from 1 species